rnacentral:rRNA from 1 species
CCAGUGCCGCCCUUCUCGGGCCUAGGAUUGCAGGGACCCUGACGCAGCAACGCCGCGUGAACGAUGAAGCCCUUCGGGGUGUAAAGUUCUGUCAGUGGGGACGAAUUCUGACGGUACCCACAAAGGAAGCACCGGCUAACUCCGUGCCAGCAGCCGCGGUAAUACGGAGGGUGCAAGCGUUGUCCGGAAUCAUUGGGCGUAAAGCGUUCGUAGGCGGCAUAUCAAGUCUGGUGUCAAAGCCUGGGGCUCAACCCCAGUUCGGCGCUGGAUACUGAUAAGCUAGAAUGUGGUAGAGGUAAAGGGAAUUCCUGGUGUAGCGGUGAAAUGCGUAGAUAUCAGGAGGAACACCGGUGGCGUAAGCGCUUUACUGGGCCAUAAUUGACGCUGAGGAACGAAAGCCGGGGGAGCAAAUGGGAUUAGAUACCCCAGUAGUCCCGGCCGUAAACGAUGGAUACUAGGUGUUGCGGGUAUCGACCCCUGCAGUGCCGUAGCUAACGCGAUAAGUAUCCCGCCUGGGGAGUACGCACGCAAGUGUGAAACUCAAAGGAAUUGACGGGGACCCGCACAAGCGGUGGAACAUGUGGUUUAAUUCGAAGCAACGCGAAAAACCUUACCAGGGCUUGACAUCUAACAAACCUUUGUGAAAGCAGAGGGUGCUCUUCGGAGAAUGUUAAGACAGGUGGUGCACGGUUGUCGUCAGCUCGUGUCGUGAGAUGUUGGGUUAAGUCCCGCAACGAGCG